rnacentral:lncRNA from 1 species
CUUCCCUCUACCACAUCCACAUCCCCAGCCCUUUUUUUGUGUAUGUGCUGUGGAUUGAACCCAGAGCCUUGUACAUGUGAGGCAAGCACUCUACCAACAACUGACCUAUAUCCCCAGCCCCUUUUUUUAUGUUUUAUUAGAAAUAGGGGCUAAGUGAGUUGCUUAGAGGCUCCCUGAGUUGCUGAGGCUGGGUUUGAACUCACAAUCCUCCUGCCUCAGCCUCCCAAGUUUCUGGGAUUAUAGGCAGGAGCCACUGCACCCUGCUUAAAAAUUUCUGUUUAAAUAAUUCGUCCAAGUGUAUGUGGUUCCCUGGAAUAAUGCAUGCCUAAUGCAUCCCUAAUUUUCCUUACUGAGACAGUUUUCUAAGUUUUACAUUUAGCUUUGUAAGUAUACCUGAGAUAACCCCCCACCUUUUUAUUUUUUAUGGUGCUGGGGAUCAAAUCCCGGGCCCUGCAUGUGGUAGACAAGGGUUCCACCAUUGAGCUACACCCUCUAAUCAUGCACUUGGGAUUGACUGAUAGAACAUGGAUACAGGAUUUAAAACCCACAUCUGAAGACUGCUUUUCAGAUUUUAGCAUGCAUUAAGCAUGACCUGGAAAGUAUUUAAAACACAGAUUACUGAGAUCUGCCUGAGACAUUCUGGUUUAGUAGACGUGAAGUAGACCCCAAGAAUUUCCAUUUCUCCAGUGGACUUAUACUGCUAGUUCAAAAGAUCCCAGUUGGAAUAACACUAAGGUAGGAAUCCUUGGAAAGGGAAGGAAAAAAUUUAUUAGCCUAGAAGGCACAGUACUAAUCUAAAUAAUAGUGGUCACAGACACUAUACUACUGUUUGACUCUAGGGAGAUCGGGAAGGGCAGGCUUGUGAGUUGAAAAUGAUGGGGGAAAAAAGAGACUUGGAAGAAAUGAGACUGCUUUCUAGCUGUAGCCUCAAAGCUGUUUGUUCCUGGGGUAAGACAGCCCUUGCACUGCCAAUGCCACCCUGGAAGUACUCCUCAGCUUGUGGUGCUCAUCACUGGAUUCUAGUAGUGGGGCCACACACAGAUACAAAAUCAUAGUCUACCUCAGAAAUUGUUUUGAAUCUGGUUUUCCCUGUCCUUCCCCACUGCUUGCUACCUCUCACCUGGUAGCUUAUCAUAGGCUCCUGGCUAUUCUUUUUCUCUCCCUUUUUACUUUCAAGUCUGUGGUCAACAUAAUCAUCCGGGGGGUGGGGGGUGGGGGGAAAACCAUGACUGACCAAGUUUUCUGACUGCUUUGAAACCUCUGGAUACCAGUUGUCUAUAGGCUUAGGUUCAGAAAUGAUAAUAUACAAUUUCCUUUGUGAUCUGGAAGAUGAGAAUAUUAAAGAAAAAAAAUGUAGGUAAGUUCCCCAUCCCUGGAGUAAAACCUACCACUCUGGCAAAUAGACAUUAGAGACAGAGCCUGGACAUGGUUGAUUUCUUAAAUCAUUUGUACUCUUAGGUCUAUAAGUAUGAAUAUGACAUGUAUUCUAUCUUCAAGGGUCCUUCUCUGUUUCAUUAGUGUAGUGCUAUCAAGAGUUUUGUGAUGUCAGUGAUCCAUUCAUAUCUAAAUAGUUGAGGAAAAACAUCAUGAAUAUGAUCUAGAUGGUUGUAUUGAGUAGUUAGAAAGGAAAAAUCCAGUUUGAUCAGAGGAAAGGCAGGGAUGGGGAUGGGGUGCAGUGCAGAUAUUUGGGGGCUGGUCAGUGACAGAAGGAAAGCUAGAUUACAGUGGUUCAGACCUUGGUGGACUAAGUAAGCUAUUUAGAGCUGACAUUACAGGCCUGUAGAGGAUAUUUUGCAAAAAUGAUCCAUUGGCAUAUAUUACGAUUUGAAAAGGGGAGAGUAUGAAAGCAAGGGAAUAAGUUAAAGUGUUAAACUAAUUCUAGCAAAAGAUGUAGAAUUCUAGCUGAGUGCAGUGGCACACAACUGUAAUCUCAGCAUCUUGGGAGGCUGAGACAGGAGAAUGGCAGGUUUGAGGCCAGCCACAGCAAGUUAGCAAGGCCCUAAGCAACUUAGGGAGAACCUGUCUCAAAAUAAAAGGACUGGGUAUGUGGCUCAGUGGUAAAACACGUCUGGGUUCAAUCCCCAGUUCCAAAGGGAAAAAAAAGUAUGGAGUUCUGAUUAUCUCAUUUGCAUAGCCAUUUAGUUCCACAUGUAAGACAUGUAGGAAAGAAUCUGUAGAACUGAGAAUAAGUGAAUUCUACUGGGUGAAUGGUUUAAUGAUUUUGAUUGACUGGUUUAGGGUGGAUAAUAGAAAAAAAAAUCUCAUUGACAGAAAUAGAUUAAUAAGGAAAACUCAUUUUUGAGCAGACUUUAAUAUUUAUUUUUUAAUUAUAGGUGGACACAGUAAUUUUUAUUUUAUUUUAUGUGGUGCUGAGGAUCAAACCCAGAGGGCCUCACGCAUGCUAAGCGAGCACUCUACCUCUGAGCCACAAC